rnacentral:misc_RNA from 1 species
UCGACUAUAACUCGCGGCGCCUCGUGCGCACGCGCAGUUCUCUUUUUAUCGUUAGUCCUACGUGUUCAUGCCGGCUCCCAGCGAAGCUGCGCCGAAAAUGAACCGUUUCUACAGGUCACGGUCUCGGUCUCCAGUGGACUAUGACAGGGACCGCGAUUCAAGCCGCAACCGCAGGAGGUCAGAUUCACGCCCCGAUAGACGGUCUCGGGCACCCUCUGACAGGCGUGUGUAUGUUGCCAAUGUGCCUUUUGACUGCAAGUGGACCGACAUCAAGGACCUGUUCCGGGACAAAGUUGGUGAUGUGUCCUACGUAGAGCUGUUUGAAGAUGAAAAUGGCAAGUUCCGUGGGUGUGGGAUUGUGGAACUCAAGGACAAAGCCUCGGUGCCCAAGGCAAUUGAGGUGCUUCACAGAUAUGAAAUGAAAGGCCGAUUCCUCGUUGUGAAGGAGGAUUUUGACGUGGAGCGUGACCGCUACGGUCGCCCAAUUCCUCGGGGACGGUCAGGUGGUGAUCGCAUGAUGGACGACCGUGGCAGCCGUGAUGGCGAUCGAGAUGGCUAUGGCCGCGGUGGUGGUGGCGGCGGCGGCGGUGGUGUGGGUUUCAACACAUACGGAUUGAGCCCUCAGUUCCUCGACUCUCUUGGAAUUGUGGGGCCCCUCUCGAACAGAGUGUUUGUGGCCAAUCUUGACUACAAGGUGACCGCAAAGAAACUUCAAGAGGUGUUCAGGAUUGCAGGCCGUAUUUCAAAUGUUGACCUCAGGACGGACAAGGAAGGCAACAGCAAGGGCCACGGAAUUGUGGAAUUUGAGCACCCCAUUGAAGCUGUCCAGGCCAUCUCUAUGUUAAAUGGCCAGAAAUUGUUCAACCGGGCAAUGAGCGUCCGCAUGGACAAGUACAACGAAGAUCUCGACGGUGGGCUCCCAUCAAAGCUUCCCACUGGCCUUCAAGGCAUAGGCAAGGGCCUUGGAGCUGGUGGCAACCCUCUUCAAAUGAGUGCUGCGGCAAUGGCCCAAAUGAACAUGACUGGCCCAGUGGGAGGUGGCAUGCCAAUGGGCGGUGGUGUGAACCCUGUAGCGGCAGCGGCUGGUAUGGGCCUGGGCGGCCUCGGAGGCAUGGGCCUGGGCGCUGCUGGUGCCCUCGGAGCUGCAGGAACUGGGGGCCUGGGUGCAGCAGGUGCCGGCCUGGGUGGCAUGGGAUCGGCUGGAGGCUUGGGUGGGCUCUCGGACCGCUCAAUGCUGGGCUCAGGCAACCUCAUGGGCGGCGGCAUGGCUUCGCCCACAGGGCUCAUGGGUGGCCUGUCAGGGGGCUUGGGCGGUGGAGCCUCGGCCUUGGGUGCUGGCAAUGGUGGGGGUCUUGAUUACGACCGGCAUCUCGGCGGUGGUGAUGGGUACCGAAGUCCCCGCUCUUCCGAUGCCAUCAUGGUGCAGAAUCUUCCCAUGGGCUACAGCUGGCAGAACCUGCGUGAUCGUUUCCGGGAUGUUGCUCCUCGCAGCAAGCAGCCCAGUUCGAGGUCCUCCUUUGGUUUUUGAUGCAGGGAGCGUGCGGUACACCGACAUGAAGGGACGUGGUACCGCAAUUGUGCGCUUCAACUCCGAGCGGGAUGCCCAGCGAGCUGUUGACAUGAUGAACGGCAUCCGCAUCGAGAAUCGCCAGAUCGAUGUGCGCCUCUACUGAGCAUCGUGGGUCGUCGUGUCCUUUGUCAUCGUCAAUCCUUCUGGUCUCCCCUCUUUUCUUCUUUCCAUGGGCUCCUGUCUUUUUUUUUUUUUUUUUUUCCAUGUUCUCUCACUGUCAGCGUUUGACGUCUUCAUCCUGUGUACUACCGUCAGCAGAGAAAGAAAAAAAAAACCUCCCACCACUCAUGUAUAGUUCCAUCUCCUCCAUUCCACAGCUGUCCAUCGAAGCAUGAUGGCUGGCUCCAAUUACUGUGAAGCGGCUGGCCACACGUGCACUGUGUGGAGGGGAAAUGGUCCUGUCCUUCCUUUUUUAAAAGCUGUUUCUCUUGCUUGUAUAGUCCAAGCACAUCAUCACUUUUCAGUCCAGGACCUGCAAGGGCGAGGAUGGUCAUUGGUUUUAAAUUUGUUCCCGUUUUUCUUAGCAUCCUCACUUCACAAAAAUAGCAGAUUUUGCCUGCGGUGUGCUUGUUUACUGUUUUCUCUUUGCCAGUGGUCGCGAGCUUUUUUCAUUACUUCAGUGGUGUUGCUGAAGAAAACCAAGAAACAGUCAGCAAGUGGUGCGUUAGGCGGCUCAUAAACUUGACAAGCCUUUGUGACAUUGCUGCACAACAUCCUGCUUUCGAAUCAUCCCUUAUGUAGUCUUUUUUUUUUUUCCCUUUAUUUUAUCCAUUGUGCAGAUAAAUAUCCAUUAUGCAGAUAAAAUGUGCGGGGCAUUGUUUAUCCUUUUUUUUUUUUAAUUGCUACUCAAUUUUGAAGCACUGAAUAUAUAAAUUGCCAUAACAGUCACAAGCGUCAACAAGUUUUUAUCCUUUCUCGUCCUUUUUCUUCCUUUUGUUUAGCAUCAAAGCAGUGGCGUUGAUGGAUGCAUCCUCAUAUGUACAUUUGCACAUGCACCAGUCUGCAACUUUGGUCCGAAAAGCCUUCAGUUCAUGCUACAGUUUAGUAGUCGCAUAUUGCAAGUCACCUCGCCGUUUCUCUUGAUCGUGUGGGCUGCAGCGUGGGCUCUACAAGCUAUAACGAGGCAGGUGGUCACACUUGCCGCGAAACCACCCUUGUUGCUUCUAGAAUAAAGCUUCCUUUGUCUCCGUGUGCUACUA